UUGCAAACCACGUGAUUCUAAGAAACUGAUCUCCACCAUCCAAUAUUUUCAUCAACGGCCAUCAAAUGAACCGGUGGCAUAAUGUAAAUAAAUGGUCUAUCAUGUUUCCAUUUUAAUUAAUUGAGAGGGAGAAGUCACAGAAACAGUGGUGAAGAUAAUCAAGAAACCAAUUCACGCGGAAUCAUGAACGAGGUCGGAAACGGAGUGAAAUAAUCAUGAUAUAGACAUCGUUUUUGAACUUCAAAACAGUGCAGAAAUCCAGCGCUCCCGAGACCAAGACGAUGGCGAUGAUUUCUGAAACAGUUAGCUUCAUGCAUUCAUGAAAAAUUGAUGAUGAUGGAGACGAUGGUGGUGAUGCAAAAAUCCAGUUAGCUGAAACCCAUUCAUGAAACAUUUAGCUUCAUGCAUUCAUAAAAAAUUGAUGGUGUGCAGAAACCCAUUCAUGAAACAGUUAGCUUCAUCCAUUCAUGAAAAAUUGAUGGUGAUGAUGCAGAAAUCCAGUGACCCAUAGCUUAUCAGCUUAAGUUUUAUACGUCUUUUUUUGUCAUAGCUUAUCAGCUAGUCUUUGUCAAAACGUCAGCUAUCAAUUAGUUUGCUAAACAUAGUCAUCAAGGUCAUUCUUGAAUAUCAACAUAACUUUGUCAUUAUUAAUUGAUGAUUUAACUCGUCUAUUAAGAUCC